UACAGAGGUCUCAAGCGUUGUUCGGAUUCAUUGGGCGUAAAGGGCGCGUAGGCGGCGCGGUAAGUCGGGGGUGAAAUCUCGGAGCUUAACUCCGAAACUGCAUUCGAUACUGCCGUGCUUGAGGACUGGAGAGGAGACUGGAAUUUACGGUGUAGCGGUGAAAUGCGUAGAUAUCGUAAGGAAGACCAGUGGCGAAGGCGGGUCUCUGGACAGUUCCUGACGCUGAGGCACGAAGGCCAGGGGAGCAAACGGG
rnacentral:rRNA from 1 species